rnacentral:lncRNA from 1 species
AUGAGGAGUACAUCGGUGACAGCAUAAAUGGCUAAAAAAACAUCUAGUAUACGAAAGUACACAGAAAGUAUACUUUUUCAUAUACUUUUCUCAAGUACACACAAAAAAUGUAGCAUUCAAAUUUUUAAUCUCUCCAGGUUUUCUGAAUAAUGUGCAUUAAACAGUUAUCAAUGAUGUAACAAAGAUUAUUCAGUGUUCAAAUGCCUAGACACAUCACUAUUUUGAAGAAAGGAUUUUCCAUGAAGCAGUCAUUAAAUUUUUUCGCUGUGGUUUGACCCUUUUAUUUAGAAACAGCAAUAAACAUUUCGGUUAUGGCUUUGAAAAGAGAAAAUGAAUGCUUUCUUCAGAGAGAAAAAAAAAAAAACAGGAGGAACAGAGAGAAGGGCGGAAGAAUGGCUGGUCCUUUGCUAGCCGAGGUACCUACAAGCUGUGAACAAAAUGAGGAAAUGCUGGAGCCUUCUACACCUCUGCCUCUCGCUAGAGCAGCGCACAGUCCUCAGCCUCCCAGCCCCAAUGGGGAAGCAGCAACCUUUGGCACAAUCUGGCACAGAGUGGUUCUGGCACUGUCCUCUUUGGCCUCUGGACAAGAAUGUUCACUUACACAUCCCAAGUUAUCCUAAGUCCAUCUGUUGUGUUCUGGGGAUCAGAAACAAAUGUGGGACACUCCCCUGUCCUGUGACCACCCUCUCUCUCAGGCUCUGACUUGCUUUCACAAGCAUUUGGGGAAAAGCCCAGACUUGUCUCAGGAGGAUUGUCUGGGAGGCAGAGCUGAGCCCACAGCCAGUGGCACCACUGCCCCCUGACCUCACCCAGGGCAGGGUGAAUCAACUGACAGCCCCAAUAAACAGUGGGGACGAGGGACUGCUGGGUCUCCCAGAGUCUUCAGUUUGGAGAUAAGCCACACAGUUUGGUUCAUUUCUUGGUAGAGACAGAGCUAUAAGGAAACUUCAAGAUGAUUUUACAGAAGGAAGACUCAUGAGGGUGAGCAAGGUCAAGCAACUCAUGCUGGUCACACACUGAGUUACAGAAGGGUUGGGAU